rnacentral:lncRNA from 1 species
AUAAAGACGAAAAAGGGACAAAAUUGUAUUCUUAUGGUGGAGAUGAGGGUGACAGGACUAUUGAGAAAAAGAAUUUGGUGGUUUGCUUUUGUUGCUGCAUUUUGCUGCUUCUUUCAGUUAUGUCUGGGAUUGUUUUUGAGUCAACGGAACUAGUCGGAGCUCUGAAGAUUACAUGCAGUAGAGUUUUAUGGUGAAAGAUGGCAGGAUGGCUUACGGUGGUUUAGUUCGAACUUUAAUGGCUGAUUUUCCUUGACUCUACAGUGGUUUCAUGGUGGGCUUAGUUUAGUUAACUGCUAUGAGGUUUUUGAUUUUUUUAAGAAAAUA